rnacentral:rRNA from 1 species
GACGAACGCUGGCGGCAUGCCUAACACAUGCAAGUCGAACGAGACCUUCGGGUCUAGUGGCGCACGGGUGCGUAACGCGUGGGAACCUGCCCUUAGGCUCGGAAUAACUCCCCGAAAGGGGUGCUAAUACCGGUUAAUGUCUUCGGACCAAAGAUUUAUCGCCUUUGGAUGGGCCCGCGUUGGAUUAGCUAGUUGGUAGGGUAAAAGCCUACCAAGGCGACGAUCCAUAGCUGGUCUGAGAGGAUGAUCAGCCACACUGGGACUGAGACACGGCCCAGACUCCUACGGGAGGCAGCAGUGGGGAAUAUUGGACAAUGGGCGAAAGCCUGAUCCAGCAAUGCCGCGUGAGUGAUGAAGGCCUUAGGGUUGUAAAGCUCUUUUACCCGGGAUGAUAAUGACAGUACCGGGAGAAUAAGCUCCGGCUAAGUCCGUG